GCAAGACAAUAAAUUAAUGAUUGAAGAGCCUUGGCCAGGAGAGAAUGCUCUGCCUAGUUGUUUGGAAAACAUAAGGAGAGACGACCUAGAGAUUGUGCUUCUGGGGACUGGUUCAUCNNNNCCAACCUUCUAAGUACCGAAAUGUUAGUUCUGUCUAUAUUAAUCUCUUCUCUAAAGGAGGUUUGCUCUUAGACUGUGGGGAAGGAACCCUUGGACAACUGAAAAGAAGAUAUGGUGUGGAGGGUGCUG
rnacentral:misc_RNA from 1 species